rnacentral:rRNA from 1 species
UACGAAGGGGGCUAGCGUUGUUCGGAAUUACUGGGCGUAAAGCGUGCGCAGGCGGCUUCUCAAGUCAGGGGUGAAAGCCCAGAGCUUAACUCUGGAAUUGCCUUUGAGACUGAGAGGCUUGAGUACGGGAGAGGUGAGUGGAAUUCCCAGUGUAGAGGUGAAAUUCGUAGAUAUUGGGAAGAACACCGGUGGCGAAGGCGGCGACCUGGGCCAAUAUUGACGCUGAGGUGCGAAAGCGUGGGGAGCAAACAGG